GAAUUAGCGCCGGCUAACUCUGUGCCAGCAGCCGCGGUAAUACAGAGGGUGCAAGCGUUAAUCGGAUUUACUGGGCGUAAAGCGCGCGUAGGCGGCUAAUUAAGUCAAAUGUGAAAUCCCCGAGCUUAACUUGGGAAUUGCAUUCGAUACUGGUUAGCUAGAGUGUGGGAGAGGAUGGUAGAAUUCCAGGUGUAGCGGUGAAAUGCGUAGAGAUCUGGAGGAAUACCGAUGGCGAAGGCAGCCAUCUGGCCUAACACUGACGCUGAGGUGCGAAAGCAUGGGGAGCAAACAGGAUUAGAUACCCUGGUAGUCCAUGCCGUAAACGAUGUCUACUAGCCGUUGGGGCCUUUGAGGCUUUAGUGGCGCAGCUAACGCGAUAAGUAGACCGCCUGGGGAGUACGGUCGCAAGACUAAAACUCAAAUGAAUUGACGGGGGCCCGCACAAGCGGUUGAGCA
rnacentral:rRNA from 1 species